rnacentral:lncRNA from 1 species
AGGGAAUACUUACUUUCGCUAACAUGAUACAUGCAUGGUUGCACGCACGGUGCCCAAAUCGGUUGAUGACAGCAGCAGUGCAAUCAAUCAGCUUGUGCUGUUUCACCCAAAGCGACGGCCUACCGUCCGUGGCUGACGUGGUGCGGCUCUUAUGGUCCAAAUUAGAAGUUGCACCUGAUGCCACACUGUUGUGCAGGCCCUCCGGGGUUCAGGCAUCGACGUCAUCGUCGACGAGACCAAACUGAACGCCAUCAUAUCCGACG